CCUGAAAGAGUUUGUGACUAGGCUCGCCCGUAAU
rnacentral:sRNA from 1 species